GCCGAUGUGGCGGAAUUGGUAGACGCGACGGAUUCAAAAUCCGUUUUCUUCGGAAGUGCUGGUUCGAGUCCAGUCAUCGGUA
rnacentral:tRNA from 1 species